rnacentral:tRNA from 1 species
GUCCGCGUAGCACAGUGGUAGUGCGCUUGACUACGAUUCUUCCUUCUGAAUCUGAAUCAAGAGGUCGCGAUUUCGAAUAUCGCCGUGGAUU